rnacentral:lncRNA from 1 species
AUCGAGCCUGCGUGCUGCCGAAGCAGGGCGCCGAGUCCAUGCGAACUGCCAUCUGAUCCGCUCUUAUCAAUGAAGCAGCCGAUCAUGGCGGAUGGCCCCCGGUGCAAGAGGCGCAAACAAGCCAAUCCCAGGAGGAAAAACGCAAAGACAAACCACCUAAAUAGAGAGAUUAAUUCCACAUCAGUGCAACAUUAAAAGGGAGAGAGGAUGCCAAGAAUCCCAUUAAUUUGGGAUAUAAGUGUCUGAAAUUUCCUCAAAACAUUUACGCCAAGGAAUACCAACAAGACAAUAUCAAGCAGCUCUCCCUAAGGAUAGAGAGGCAUGUUAAAACUGUAUAACCAACAGAACCAUUUAAAAGGAAGAAAAACAUCACCCAAGUUCCGUGUCUGAAUGAAGGCUGUCUUCUCAAAUGCUCCUCAUUACUCCAGAGCAGUUAUAUUUGGAUUAUAAUUAAAACGAGGCUUCUUUUUUUUC